AUUGAACGCUGGCGGCAUGCUUUACACAUGCAAGUCGAACGGUAACAGGCCGCAAGGUGCUGACGAGUGGCGAACGGGUGAGUAAUGCAUCGGAACGUGCCCAGUCGUGGGGGAUAACGCAGCGAAAGCUGUGCUAAUACCGCAUACGACCUGAGGGUGAAAGCGGGGGACCGUAAGGCCUCGCGCGAUUGGAGCGGCCGAUGUCAGAUUAGCUAGUUGGUGGGGUAAAGGCCUACCAAGGCAACGAUCUGUAGUUGGUCUGAGAGGACGACCAGCCACACUGGGACUGAGACACGGCCCAGACUCCUACGGGAGGCAGCAGUGGGGAAUUUUGGACAAUGGGCGCAAGCCUGUUCCAGCAAUGCCGCGUGCAGGAAGAAGGCCUUCGGGUUGUAAACUGCUUUUGUCAGGGAAGAAAUCCUCUGGGUUAAUACCUCGGGGGGAUGACGGUACCUGAAGAAUAAGCACCGGCUAACUACGUGCCAGCCGCCGCGGUAACAC
rnacentral:rRNA from 1 species